rnacentral:rRNA from 1 species
UACGUAGGGUGCGAGCGUUGUCCGGAAUUACUGGGCGUAAAGAGCUCGUAGGCGGCUUGUCGCGUCGACUGUGAAAUCCCGAGGCUCAACUUCGGGCUUGCAGUCGAUACGGGCAGGCUAGAGUUCGGUAGGGGAGACUGGAAUUCCUGGUGUAGCGGUGAAAUGCGCAGAUAUCAGGAGGAACACCGAUGGCGAAGGCAGGUCUCUGGGCCGAUACUGACGCUGAGGAGCGAAAGCGUGGGGAGCGAACAGG